ensembl:lncRNA
CAGCCCCAUUGUUGCUACUGAUUUUUCCUAAGUCGUGGAGCAAGGACUUUAGAUGGCUUUUUCUCCAAGAUUCAAUCAGGUGGUGCCCAGGACGCUGGGGCAGCAGCCAACUCCUGAAAAAAGUCCAUGACCAUGGACAUCUCUGUCUCUACCCUCCAUGGACAUGACGCCACCCGGCCUUCUCUUGCACAUUGGACAAAGGAUGCACCUGAACCAUUUUCUUACUUUCACCGUCAAAUGAGGAUUUUUCUCAAAACAGCAGUUGCUGCCAGGGGGAAGGGAGGGAGGUUUUAUUUAUUCCCACAGUUUAUACUGGGCCUUUUGGAAUUACCUUUUUUUCCCCAAAUUUUCCUCUGGCGGUGAGUGUGUCACUGAGCCUGCCAUCCUCCGAAGCCUUACUACCCCAAGCUGCCAGCCAGGAGGGGAUAACCACCCUCCCAGAGCUUCUCUCAGCUCUUUUUUUAAAAGUCCCCAACAUAGGAUUCUUGCUGGGAAAGGAAGCUUGGUUAAGAAAUGUCAAACAUGGUUUUUACAAGGUCUUGCCCUGUGACGAAGCAGCCACCCCAGUCCAGAGAGAUGCUCAGAACUGGAUGUGGGUGAGAGCGCCCUGCCCACAGUGGCCCCGGUGCUCUGCGCCCACCACCCCGACCACCUGGUCUCAGUAGAUGUCCCUAGAUGGGCUGAGCCAUGUGCAAUAAGAACGUAGAUCCUAAUGGAUCCCCUGAGAAGCUGUAUUUCUUGAAUUAGAAUUCUGAAAUUGUAUAUCUAUAAAUAUAUGUUUAUUACGUGAUUGGCUGGCCUUGGUGGGUCUGUGUUGGGCAAGGGGGAUGAGCUGGGGGGCGGGCACAAGCACCUGUUGCUGCUGACACGGUACAGCCCAGACCACAGGGAGUUUUUGGUGGCAAGCCUAAGGGUCCCGUCCCCCCCCCCGACUCCCCACCGCUGGCCCGGCCCCAGGUGACAGCCACUUCAGUCACAAGUGUACCCCUCCAGGUAAGGGUAAGAGGCUCAAUUGGGCCAGGACCCUGAGGUUCCUGAUACCGGUCCAGGGUGGGCAACCUGGGCCAUGAUCACAGCCUCUGCCUCCCCCUCGUCCAGCUCCCUCCCUUCAUUCCCUUGGGCCUGCUGUGAGGCAAACAUUCAGAACCUCCCUUCCCCCACCCUGGAUCCAGAUCGAGGGAAAAGUUCUCCCAAGUUUCCAUCUGUGGUUGCACUACCUUCCCAGCCAUCCUUCCCACACUGGCUCCACAGCCCGCCCUCCUCCCCCAGAAGAUUGGAAAAGUUAAAAAUGUGGCAGCCCCGGUAAGGCUUUCUGUGAAUGGAGCAGCAGAUCUGCCCGGGCCUCCCAGAGACAGAGCCCGGCAGCCCUGACUGGUGGCCCGAGGCCCCUCCUGCGGCUGCUCCAGCCAAAGACAGGCAGGCUGCCCGGUGGUGCCACUGCAGCCCGGGAGCUCAUUGGCUGCCCCCACCAGGGUCACCGCAGCCUGCCCGGCCCGCUCUGCGAGCUGCCACUUGUUGGCUGCAGUUAGCAGGGGCGUUGCCAGCCGCCCCUGUUUACCCACCCCAACUCCCUGCCCUCGUGUGUGGCUCUGAGAGCCAGAGGGGUGGGAGAGACUCCUUCCAACUGUUUGCUGUAAAAAAGAGCCUUUGACAAGUGUCCCCACCCACUGUCAGGUGGCAAACAAGGCUCUCGUCCAUCCAAGCUCCUGGGAUCAGUCAGCUUAUCUUUUGGUCCCAGGCUGCCGCCAGGUCUCCCAAGGACAAGGAGCACACACCCCAGCCCUCCCCACCGGGCAGAGUCUCCUGGGGCAGAGUCUCCUGGCCUUUGAGGGAAGGCACACAGACAGACUCAGCUAAAUAGGCGGUUGACAACAGUGUUGGCUCUUGAGGAACUCAGAAUCCUUACCAAAUGUCACACCAUGUGAUUUGAGUGAGUCAGCCCAUUUGCCAGAGUAGGAAACUAAGCCCUAGGGUAGGGAACGUGAUGCCCAAGGCUCUCCAUAAAACUGUGCAUGUCUUUGGGGUCUGUGGAGCAGAACCAUCAUUUUGAAAACAUUUGCUGAACCCGAAUUCACUGUCCUUGAGGGGAUCAAAUCCACUCGUACCAAGAGGAGUGGCAGGAACCCUGAGUUCAGAAUGGUGGGAAAGGCCCUAAGGAAAACAGGAUUUAAUCUGAGGAGCUGGGUGUGUGUGGGCUGCCCUUGUGAGCCAUACCCCCUGCCUCCUGGUGGUGACAAAGGUGUCCACCUGGCUUGGGGGGCACAUUCCCAGGGCUGGUGUCACCUCUGAAAGGCAGCACAGUGGAUCCGUUGGGUGUGGGUGUAGACCCCACAGCCUGGCUUGCCUGGGUUGAUCCAUGUACUGACUGGGUAGCCUUGUGUGUGUCACUCAACCUCCCUCUCCCUCUAUGGCCUCAUCUUCAUGUGAGUAAUAAAACCACCUACCUCAUUGGGUCACUGUGAGAAGUAAAAGUGAUCACAUAUACACACUUUAAAAAACCAGCCUGGUACAUAGAAAGCUCUGUUUUAAGUAUUGUUAUUCAUCCUCAGUCAAGGAAGAUUGACUGAGCACAGACUGGGUGUGAAGUCCCCACCGAAACCACAACUACGACUGAGACUCGGCCUGCCCGAUAGGAACUACGGGUGUGAAGGAGCCGGUGAUCAGCAGACCCCGGUGGGCAGAGGACUGUGAGAAAAACAAACCCUGGAGCAUGGCAGGUGCCAGCAGCUCUGGCUGGAGGGGACCUCUGACUGCUGUCAGAAGCAGUGCCCACCCUGGAAGGAUAGAAGAGGAUGUGUUCUCAGUGCUCAGGCCUGUGCCAGGUGGCACCACCCAUUCCUGGACGCAGACCCAGUUCUGUCCCUAGGCUGCCCGAGUGCUGCCCUGGCCACAGGUCUCAGGGUCACCGCUGGCAGGCUUUGCUACCUGCUGGCCACCAGCCCAGGGCCCUGGAUGCUGAGAAUGGCAUCCUGGACCCCGUGUGUCAGACAGCUUCCCACAGUGCCACACAGCAGCUGUUUCCAUGGUGUUCAAGCUAUGAGCCCCAGGCUCACACAACAUGGGGAGGAAAGGUGUUGCUUGGGGCCUCAGUCUCCCUCUGGUCCCUUCUUAGCCCUGAAGCACUGAACACAAAGUCCAGAGAUCAUGUUUCAAGCCUCAGCUAUAAUGGACACGUAUAAUAUUUCAUCUGUAUCAUUUAAACUUUUUUGUUAUAACUGUAAAAUUAUGCAUAAAGAAGCACUUUUCAUU